AUUGAUUUUGAUGAUUACAAAGCAUUUGAAGGGGUACUAAUGAUUUUCGCUUGAAAAAGACUUAUUGCUUUUCAGGGGCAAAAUCAUAAUUUUACCAAACCCUGAUUUGAAAGCAUCAAGUGAUAGAACAAAAGAUUUAUGAUCCAUUGGUGAAAAUUUUAUUAUUUUUGGACAUGUAUUUUGAAAGAUAUCCAUGUUUGAAAAUUUGAGUCGACC
rnacentral:lncRNA from 1 species